rnacentral:tRNA from 1 species
GCCUGGGUGAUGGAAUGGCAGACAUAACGGACUUAAAAUCCGUUGACCGCAAGGUCGUAUGGGUUCGACUCCCAUCCCAGGCA